UGGUUUCUCCGGUGUAGAUUUGUU
rnacentral:misc_RNA from 1 species